UUCCACGCUGCAAAUCGCUCAUCCGCCGCCCGCAUCCACACCAAAACACAGGGCGGGGAAAAAGCAGGGAGUAAAAAAGGGUGUUUGCUCUUCGCCUUUGCCACGGGAGGUGAAGCAACCCCUCACCGGGCGCAUCCCGGCACCUACACCCGGCUGCACGCGUCUGCCCGAAGCCGGUAAACACGGCGUCGACUGCUCCCCCCCGACGCCCGUGCAGGGGCCGCCCUUCCCACGGCGUUAUGUAACUAAAGAGCACAGUGGGCACCGUAUCUCCUGGGGGCAGCUUUGCUAAGUGGGUGAAUUUGUACCAGGGCAGCAUUUGGCCCAAGGUGAUCAUGUGCAACACCCAUUACCAUGAGGUCAGGAGGCUGUGACAGGCCACCACCAACCUUAUCACAUCUGCUUGGCUCCACAUCCCUGCCUGACCCAGCAGCAUCACUGAAGAGGAGUCACUCCUGCCAGUGCUCCCCUCUGCCCAGGAGCUGGGAAAACUCCCAGGAUCAGCAGAAACAUCACAGAAUGGGCUCAGCUCCUCUUCUGCUGGAGAGCCUGCAGUGGCACGCAACCUGGAAAGAAGUAGGUUAAUGCAAAAUUGGUGCAAGAAUGGGAAGGAUCUGGACUUUUGUCACAUCAUCUUCCAAGCACAUCAGUAACAACAAAGUAUUGUUUCUUGUACUUCAAAAAGAGGUGAAUGUUUCUGCAUGGUGGGAAAUCCAACUUGCACACCUGAAAUGCAAGAAAAAUCAUAUGAGCAAAAGACUCAGAAAUUCAUUUCAGAUGUAACCAGAUACACCUUCUGACAGACUGGAAUACUUAAAAUCUUCUUUAACCAGCAGCAUGUCAAGACAUGCCUGCUUUGGACACUCUUAAGACAUCCAGCCCCCAUAUUUUUCAUACCCUCCUAAUUACAUUCAUAUGUUUGGUUUCAUAUUUGACCUCUCUGUUGCAACAGAGUGCCAAGCAAAGCACUUCUCCUAGGUCUGACACAAAAAUUAAGCUGGAGAGGAUGGGGUAUUCAAGAUUGUCAUAUCCCUCAUACACACACUAGAGUGACAGGC